CCGGCACGGGUGAGUAACACGUAUCCAACCUGCCGUCUACUCUUGGGCAGCCUUCUGAAAGGAAGAUUAAUACAAGAUGGCAUCAUGAGUUCACAUGUUCACAUGAUUAAAGGUAUUCCGGUAGACGAUGGGGAUGCGUCCCAUUAGAUAGUAGGCGGGGUAACGGCCCACCUAGUCUUCGAUGGAUAGGGGUUCUGAGAGGAAGGUCCCCCACAUUGGAACUGAGACACGGUCCAA
rnacentral:rRNA from 1 species